UACGUAGGGGGCAAGCGUUGUCCGGAUUUAUUGGGCGUAAAGAGCGUGUAGGCGGCCAGGUAGGUCAGCUGUGAAAACUCGAGGCUCAACCUCGAGACGCCGGUUGAAACCAUCUGGCUAGGAGUCCGGAAGAGGAGAGUGGAAUUCCUGGUGUAGCGGUGAAAUGCGCAGAUAUCAGGAAGAACACCCGUGGCUAAGGCGGCUCUCUGGAACGCAACUGACGCUGAGACGCGAAAGCGUGGGGAGCAAACAGG
rnacentral:rRNA from 1 species